rnacentral:rRNA from 1 species
AUACGGAGGAUCCGAGCGUUAUCCGGAUUUAUUGGGUUUAAAGGGAGCGUAGGCGGACGCUUAAGUCAGUUGUGAAAGUUUGCGGCUCAACCGUAAAAUUGCAGUUGAUACUGGGUGUCUUGAGUACAGUAGAGGCAGGCGGAAUUCGUGGUGUAGCGGUGAAAUGCUUAGAUAUCACGAAGAACUCCGAUUGCGAAGGCAGCCUGCUGGACUGUAACUGACGCUGAUGCUCGAAAGUGUGGGUAUCAAACAGGAUUAGAUACCCUGGUAGUCCACACAGUAAACGAUGAAUACUCGCUGUUUGCGAUAUACAGUAAGCGGCCAAGCGAAAGCGUUAAGUAUUCCACCUGGGGAGUACGCCGGCAACGGUGAAACUCAAAGGAAUUGGCGGGG